rnacentral:rRNA from 1 species
AGAGUUUGAUCCUGGCUCAGGAUGAACGCUGACAGAAUGCUUAACACAUGCAAGUCAACUUGUAAUUUGGGUUUUAACUUAGAUUUGGGUGGCGGACGGGUGAGUAACGCGUAAGAACUUGCCUCACAGCUAGGGACAACAUUUAGAAAUGAAUGCUAAUACCUGAUAUUAUGAUUUUAAGGCAUCUUAGAAUUAUGAAAGCUAUAAGCACUGUGAGAGAGCUUUGCGUCCCAUUAGCUAGUUGGAGAGGUAACAGCUCACCAAGGCGAUGAUGGGUAGCCGGCCUGAGAGGGUGAACGGCCACAAGGGGACUGAGACACGGCCCUUACUCCUACGGGAGGCAGCAGUGGGGAAUAUUGGACAAUGGACCGAGAGUCUGAUCCAGCAAUUCUGUGUGCACGAUGAAGUUUUCGGAAUGUAAAGUGCUUUCAGUUGGGAAGAAAGAAAUGACGGUACCAACAGAAGAAGUGACGGCUAAAUACGUG